rnacentral:rRNA from 1 species
CCUACGGGAGGCAGCAGUAGGGAAUCUUCGGCAAUGGGGGCAACCCUGACCGAGCAACGCCGCGUGAGUGAAGAAGGUUUUCGGAUCGUAAAGCUCUGUUGUAAGUCAAGAACGGGUGUGAGAGUGGAAAGUUCACACUAUGACGGUAGCUUACCAGAAAGGGACGGCUAACUACGUGCCAGCAGCCGCGGUAAUACGUAGGUCCCGAGCGUUGUCCGGAUUUAUUGGGCGUAAAGCGAGCGCAGGCGGUUUGAUAAGUCUGAAGUUAAAGGCUGUGGCUCAACCAUAGUUCGCUUUGGAAACUGUCAAACUUGAGUGCAGAAGGGGAGAGUGGAAUUCCAUGUGUAGCGGUGAAAUGCGUAGAUAUAUGGAGGAACACCGGUGGCGAAAGCGGCUCUCUGGUCUGUAACUGACGCUGAGGCUCGAAAGCGUGGGGAGCGAACAGGAUUAGAUACCCUGGUAGUCCACGCCGUAAACGAUGAGUGCUAGGUGUUGGAUCCUUUCCGGGAUUCAGUGCCGCNGCACGCAUAGACACUCCGCCGUGGGAGGUACGACCGCGAGGUUAGUAAACGUUAAAGGUAAAGUUAGUACGGCGUGAGACGUACGACGACGACGACGACGGAGGGAGGAGG